GUGAAUCAUCAAAUUUUUGAACGCAAAUUGCGCCUUUUUCGGAAGGCAUGUCUGUUUGAGGGCACGAUUUAACAAAUAAUGUGCAGCGUUUUUUGUUUCACACGUUGAUGAGCGUUCCAUCAAUUUUAAAUUUUUGGUGGCGCAUAAUGAGCAGCGUGAAAGUUUUUUUCAGUUCGAUUGUAGUAAAAUCUUUGCUUGGUUUGUGUAUAUACAUAAUCGCGCUAUGGGUAGGGCAG
rnacentral:misc_RNA from 1 species